GCACAAGCGGUGGAUGAUGUGGUUAAUUCGAUGCAACGCGAAAACCUUACCACCUUUGACAUGUACGGAAUCCUUUAGAAGAUAGAGGAGUGCUCGAAAGAGAGCCGUAACACAGGUGCUGCAUGGCUGUCGUCAGCUCGUGUCGUGAGAUGUUGGGUUAAGUCCCGCAACGAGCGCAACCCUUGUCAUUAGUUGCUACAUUCAGUUGGGCACUCUAAUGAGACUGCCGGUGACAAACCGGAGGAAGGUGGGGAUGACGUCAAGUCCUCAUGGCCCUUAUAGGUGGGGCUACACACGUCAUACAAUGGAUGGUACAAAGGGUCGCCAACCCGCGAGGGGGAGCCAAUCCCAUAAAGCCAUUCGUAGUCCGGAUCGCAGUCUGCAACUCGACUGCGUGAAGUCGGAAUCGCUAGUAAUCGUGGAUCAGAAUGUCACGGUGAAUACGUUCCCGGGUCUU
rnacentral:rRNA from 1 species